GAAGCUUGGCUAGAGCACUCGACUGAUAAUCGAGAGGUCAAGGGUUCGAAUCCCUUC
rnacentral:tRNA from 1 species